GGAGGGGUCGCCUAGUGGCCUAUGGCGCCGUCUUGGAAAGGCGGUUUGGGAGCAAUCCCAUCGAGGGUUCGAAUCCCUCUCCCUCCGCCA
rnacentral:tRNA from 1 species